GUCACAAAGGGAGAGGCUCGCAACGGUAGUGUCUGUCUCGUACAUCACGCAGCAGCCCCCAUUGGCCAUGCCCUCCUUGCACCGCGUGGCCAUGUCCUGCUUGCACCGCGUGGCCAUGCCCUGCUAGCCCCCUCGCCUCUCGUGCUCGGGCCGCCUGCAGUUCGCGUCGCUUUCCCACGCCCUGGUCGCCCCACCCACUUGUGCUGCUCGCUGGUUCCUGGAGAGAAAGAGAGGGAGAAUGAAAAUAAGAGGCGGGGUAGAGGAAGAGGAGGGCGUAGGCCUACCGACGGUGACGAAGGAUCUGCGACCGAACGAGAUCGUGAUGCGCUGCCGGGGGAUGUCGCGGUGCAAAUGGAGCUCGCUAGGCAAUGGCCUCGGAUGUCUGACUGGAGGAGCUCGUGUGGGCUCGGAUGUGUGGUCGUAGGAGCUUGGAUGCAAGGCCGAAGGAGCUUGCGGUGUGCUCUGGUCGUGGAAAGAACGAGAGAGAGAGAGAGAAAUAAUGGGUGGAGAGGAGAUAUGAG
rnacentral:lncRNA from 1 species